GAACACUGGGUAUAAGGUUAAAGCUCGGCUCUCCUGUAAUUGGGUCUGUCUGAUAUUGCUGUCGUAAUGAAUGCCAGGGCCCACCUUUAAAAGAGGUUACGUGUAAGGACUCAAAGCGGCCCGAGACACAGUAAGUUUUUGGUUUAAACAAAAAUGCUGGUUAGCAGAACGAUGCUGUACAGACGUCGUCCAGAUCCAAAUAAAGGUUUACCACGUGGAGGCGUGGAGCUAUUCAAAUACUGAUGCGGGUUGUUGAGGAAGAGGAUCAGAGUGUAAUAUUCGUGUAACAUUUAGCCAUAUAUCACUUACAUGCCCUGUCGACGUGUCAAAAACCAAAAAAAAUCCGAUUCAAAAAUUUUAAAUGUACUACUUAAAAAAAUAAUCGACCUGUAAUUUUUCAAAGUAAUUGUGUUUCUCUUUGAAAUGUCUAUUCUUGUGAUGAUUAAUAUAUAAUGAUA
rnacentral:misc_RNA from 1 species